GAGUUUGAUUAUGGCUCAGGAUGAACGCUAGCGAUAGGCUUAACACAUGCAAGUCGAGGGGCAGCGAGGGUAGCAAUACCUGUCGGCGACCGGCGCACGGGUGAGUAACGCGUAUGUAACCUGCCCGCAACAGGGGGAUAACCCGGCGAAAGUCGGACUAAUACCGCAUAAAACAGGGGUCCCGCAUGGGAAUAUUUGUUAGAGAUUUAUCGGUUGCGGAUGGGCAUGCGUACCAUUAGGUAGUUGGUGAGGUAACGGCUCACCAAGCCAUCGAUGGUUAGGGGUUCUGAGAGGAAGGUCCCCCACACUGGUACUGAGACACGGACCAGACUCCUACGGGAGGCAGCAGUGAGGAAUAUUGGUCAAUGGGCGAGAGCCUGAACCAGCCAAGUCGCGUGAAGGAUGACUGCCCUAUGGGUUGUAAACUUCUUUUACAAGGGAAUAAAAUGAGAUACGUGUAUUUUA
rnacentral:rRNA from 1 species